GACGUAGGGCGCGAGCGUUGUCCGGAUUUAUUGGGCGUAAAGAGCGUGUAGGCGGCCAGGUAGGUCUGCUGUGAAAACUCGAGGCUCAACCUCGAGACGUCGGCGGAAACCAUCUGGCUAGAGUCCGGAAGAGGAGUGUGGAAUUCCUGGUGUAGCGGUGAAAUGCGCAGAUAUCAGGAGGAACACCAAUGGCGAAGGCAGCACUCUGGGACGUGACUGACGCUGAGACGCGAAAGCGUGGGGAGCAAACAGG
rnacentral:rRNA from 1 species